rnacentral:rRNA from 1 species
AUUGAACGCUGGCGGCAGGCCUAACACAUGCAAGUCGAGCGGAUGAAGGGAGCUUGCUCCUGGAUUCAGCGGCGGACGGGUGAGUAAUGCCUAGGAAUCUGCCUGGUAGUGGGGGAUAACGUCCGGAGACGGGCGCUAAUACCGCAUACGUCCUGAGGGAGAAGUGGGGGAUCUUCGGACCUCACGCUAUCAGAUGAGCCUAGGUCGGAUUAGCUAGUUGGUGGGGUAAAGGCCUACCAAGGCGACGAUCCGUAACUGGUCUGAGAGGAUGAUCAGUCACACUGGAACUGAGACACGGUCCAGACUCCUACGGGAGGCAGCAGUGGGGAAUACUGGACAAUGGGCGAAAGCCUGAUCCAGCCAUGCCGCGUGUGUGAAGAAGGUCUUCGGAUUGUAAAGCACUUUAAGUUGGGAGGAAGGGCAGUAAGUUAAUACCUUGCUGUUUUGACGUUACCAACAGAAUAAGCACCGGCUAACUUCGUG